GUCUCUUGUUUUCGAGCUUUCACGUGCGCCACUCUCUUUUUCUCUUUUUAACUUCUCUUUCCCCCCUCACUCUUACCUGUUCCCUAUUGUUCCCUCCUCUUCUUAUCUCUCUUUCUCUCUCCUCCUCCAAACCCUAACCAUUUUCUUUAAGCCCAAUACAACAAUGCAGAUCAAGCAGCCAUAAACAAGAAAAGGAAAGAAUAAUGGCGAAAAAAAGUGAACAAAAUUACCGAAAUUAAGCUCUCGAUUACUCAAAUGCUCGUUCGAUUCUACAAGUUGAUCUGAUGAUACUUGAUUUACCCGGAUUUGACAAGUUGAAGCAAUCUUCAGCAAUUUUAGAGGUCUAUAACUUCUUGGUUUCUCCAUAAAGCUCGAAAAUGGUGGGAUUUUAUGAUAUAGAAAAUGAGAAUUCUGUAUUAGAAAGAACUCAAAAUAGUAGUGGAAUUGCUUUUUUUGUUCAUAUUAAUACAGAUUAAAGUGUUAGUGUGGAUUUUUGUAUAUGAAUUUUAUACCUAUUCCCUACGUAUUAUAGUAUCCAAGUAUUUAUACAUGUAGAAGUUAUCAAUUGUAUGAAUAAAUUGGUUAUUUUGGAUUUC